CAGUGGUGAAAUAUUCGGGCUCAACCGGGAUACUGCCAUUGAUACUGUAUAGCUGGAAUAUAGUUGCUGUGGGUGGAAUGUGUGGUGUAGCGGUGAAAUGCAUAGAUAUCACACAGAAUAUCGAUUGCGAAGGCAACUCACAAAGCCAUUAUUGACGCUGAUGCACGAAAGUGUGGGGAUCAAACAGGAUUAGAUACCCUGGUAGUCCACACUGUAAACGAUGAUAACUAGCUGUCGGCGAUAGAUAGUCGGUGGCUAAGCGAAAGCGAUAAGUUAUCCACCUGGGGAGUACGACCGCAAGGUUGAAACUCAAAGGAAUUGACGGGGGCCCGCACAAGCGGAGGAACAUGUGGUUUAAUUCGAUGAUACGCGAGGAACCUUACCCGGGCUCGAACGGUGCAGGAAUAUGGUAGAGAUAUCAUAGCUAGCAAUAGUCUGUAUCGAGGUGCUGCAUGGUUGUCGUCAGCUCGUGCCGUGAGGUGUCGGCUUAAGUGCCAUAACGAGCGCAACCCUUGUCGUUAGUUACCAUCAAGUAAAGUUGGGGACUCUAGCGAGACUGCCACCGUAAGGUGUGAGGAAGGGGGGGAUGACGUCAAAUCAGCACGGCCCUUACGUCCGGGGCGACACACGUGUUACAAUGGUAGGUACAGAGGGGCGCUAUCCAGUGAUGGAGUGCGAAUCUCAAAAACCUAUCUCAGUUCGGAUUGGAGUCUGCAACUCGACUCCAUGAAGUUGGAUUCGCUAGUAAUCGCGCAUCAGCCAUGGCGCGGUGAAUACGUUCCCGGGCCUUGUACACACCGCCCGUCAAGCCAUGGAAGCCGGGGGUGCCUGAAGUUCGUGACCGCAAGGAGCGACCUAGGGCAAAACUGGUAACUGGGGCUAAGUCGUAACAAGGUAACC
rnacentral:rRNA from 1 species